GUGCUCACAUCGAAAGCACAUAUAGUAAAAGUGGAAUGAUGCAGAGAAAAUUAGCAUGGCUUUUGCACAAGGGUAACAUGUAAAUUUGUGAAUUGUUCCAUAUUUUU